CAGUAGCCACGGUAAAACGAAGGGGGCUAGCGUUGUUCGGAAUUACUGGGCGUAAAGCGCACGUAGGCGGAUACUUAAGUCAGGGGUGAAAUCCCGGGGCUCAACCCCGGAACUGCCUUUGAUACUGGGUAUCUCGAGUCCGGAAGAGGUGAGUGGAAUUCCGAGUGUAGAGGUGAAAUUCGUAGAUAUUCGGAGGAACACCAGUGGCGAAGGCGGCUCACUGGUCCGGUACUGACGCUGAGGUGCGAAAGCGUGGGGAGCAAACAGGAUUAGAUACCCGGGUAGUCCCUGUCUCUUAUAC
rnacentral:rRNA from 1 species